AAUAUCAAAAGUGGAGAGUUAUGUAAUUUCUACCGAGGUCAUGGUGAAAUUUAGCUCCUUCCUGCUGUGCUUCAGGACUCUUGCUUCAAAGUCUCCCUAGGAAGGACGAUCUUAGAGGAUACAGAUCAUCCAUAUGCCUAUAAAAGGACAGGAUUAUGUAAUGUUCACUUCAUGUUGCAGAACAGACUCCUCCCUCCUCUAAUUUUACAAGUAAAAGGGAAGAAAAAUUGAAGAAGAAAAUAUCAAUGACAAAAGAUGACAACAUAGUGAAAGAAACCACCAAGAAAGUAUCCUGCAACUGAGUACAAAGAGAGACUGUCGGCACGCAUUGUUCCAGAUGACUCCGGUGACUCACUGGUCCAUGGCCUCUGUCCAGCUAAACUGCUAAUCUCCAAGUUGGCAAGCCCUCACUUUUGUCUUAUUUUUGAAAGGCUUUAUAGAAAUGGCGGUUGCCAUACAUAUAUAUUGUAAGAGAGAGCAAGCAUAGAGGGAAAGGAUAUGAGGAAAAGCAAGAGGAAGAAGAAGAGGGCAAGAAGAGAGAGACUUAGAUUAGGCCACCACCACCAUUCUACACCUAGAUUACCAUAAUGGCUUGUGUUUGCUUCACUUCCAUAUUCACAAACUUAAUCCACAUACGACUGGCAGAUUGAUCUUUCUCAUGUUAUUUUAAUCAUUGUAUUACUAUCAAAAUCUACAACAUAUCCUAACAUUAAAGGAGUAGGGCAUCUUGUGUAAUCUCUAC